rnacentral:rRNA from 1 species
GAUGAACGCUGGCGGCGUGCCUAAUACAUGCAAGUCGAGCGACCAGACGAGGAGCUUGCUCCUCUGCCGUUAGCGGCUGACGGGCGAGUAACACGUGGAUAACCUACUUCUAAGACUUGGAUAACUUCGGGAAACCGGAGCUAAUACCAGCUAAUAUAUUGUACCGCAUGGAUCAAUGGUGCUAGACGCUUUUGCUGACUCUAUUAGCUGAUUCCGCGCCGCAUUAGCUAGUUGGUAAGGUAACGGCUUACCAAGGCGACGAUGCGUAGCCGACCUGAGAGGGUGAUCAGCCACACUGGAACUGAGACACGGUCCAGACUCCUACGGGAGGCAGCAGUAGGGAAUAUUCCGCAAUGGGCGAAAGCCUGACGGAGCAACGCCGCGUGAGUGAUGAAGGUCUUCGGAUCGUAAAACUCUGUUAUUAGGGAAGAACAAAUGUGUAAUUAACUAUGCACGUCUUGACGGUACCUAAUCAGAAAGCCACGGCUAACUACGUG